rnacentral:rRNA from 2 species
UGGAACGAGUGGCGGACGGGUGAGUAACACGUGGGUAACCUGCCCUUAAGUGGGGGAUAACAUUUGGAAACAGAUGCUAAUACCGCAUAGAUCCAAGAACCGCAUGGUUCUUGGCUGAAAGAUGGCGUAAGCUAUCGCUUUUGGAUGGACCCGCGGCGUAUUAGCUAGUUGGUGAGGUAACGGCUCACCAAGGCGAUGAUACGUAGCCGAACUGAGAGGUUGAUCGGCCACAUUGGGACUGAGACACGGCCCAAACUCCUACGGGAGGCAGCAGUAGGGAAUCUUCCACAAUGGACGCAAGUCUGAUGGAGCAACGCCGCGUGAGUGAAGAAGGCUUUCGGGUCGUAAAACUCUGUUGUUGGAGAAGAAUGGUCGGCAGAGUAACUGUUGUCGGCGUGACGGUAUCCAACCAGAAAGCCACGGCUAACUACGUGCCAGCAGCCGCGGUAAUACGUAGGUGGCAAGCGUUAUCCGGAUUUAUUGGGCGU